rnacentral:rRNA from 1 species
AUACAUGCAAGUCGAACGCGUCUCCGUUAAUGAUUUUAGGUGCUUGCACUUGAAAGAUUUAACAUUGAGACGAGUGGCGAACUGGUGAGUAACACGUGGGUAACCUGCCCUUGAAGUAGGGGAUAACACUUGGAAACAGGUGCUAAUACCGUAUAACAACCAAAACCACCUGGUUUUGGUUUAAAAGACGGCUUCGGCUGUCACUUUAGGAUGGACCCGCGGCGUAUUAGCUUGUUGGUAAGGUAACGGCCUACCAAGGCGAUGAUACGUAGCCGACCUGAGAGGGUAAUCGGCCACAUUGGGACUGAGACACGGCCCAAACUCCUACGGGAGGCAGCAGUAGGGAAUCUUCCACAAUGGACGAAAGUCUGAUGGAGCAACGCCGCGUGAGUGAUGAAGGGUUUCGGCUCGUAAAACUCUGUUGUUGGAGAAGAACAGGUGUCAGAGUAACUGUUGACAUCUUGACGGUAUCCAACCAGAAAGCCACGGCUAACUACGUGCCAGCAGCCGCGGUAAUACGUAGGUGGCAAGCGUUGUCCGGAUUUAUUGGGCGUAAAGCGAGCGCAGGCGGUUUUUUAGGUCUGAUGUGAAAGCCUUCGGCUUAACCGGAGAAGUGCAUCGGAAACCGGGAGACUUGAGUGCAGAAGAGGACAGUGGAACUCCAUGUGUAGCGGUGAAAUGCGUAGAUAUAUGGAAGAACACCAGUGGCGAAGGCGGCUGUCUGGUCUGUAACUGACGCUGAGGCUCGAAA